UACGUAGGGCGCAAGCGUUGUCCGGAAUUACUGGGCGUAAAGGGCUCGUAGGUGGCCAACUAAGUCAGACGUGAAAUCCCUCGGCUUAACCGGGGAACUGCGUCUGAUACUGGAUGGCUUGAGUUCGGGAGAGGGAUGCGGAAUUCCAGGUGUAGCGGUGAAAUGCGUAGAUAUCUGGAGGAACACCGGUGGCGAAGGCGGCAUCCUGGACCGACACUGACGCUGAGGAGCGAAAGCCAGGGGAGCAAAGCGGG
rnacentral:rRNA from 1 species